rnacentral:rRNA from 1 species
AUUGAACGCUGGCGGCAUGCCUUACACAUGCAAGUCGAACGGCAGCACGGGAGCAAUCCUGGUGGCGAGUGGCGAACGGGUGAGUAAUAUAUCGGAACGUGCCCAGUCGUGGGGAUAACGUAGCGAAAGCUACGCUAAUACCGCAUACGAUCUAUGGAUGAAAGCGGGGGAUCGCAAGACCUCGCGCGAUUGGAGCGGCCGAUAUCAGAUUAGGUAGUUGGUGAGGUAAAGGCUCACCAAGCCGACGAUCUGUAGCUGGUCUGAGAGGAUGAUCAGUCACACUGGAACUGAGACACGGUCCAGACUCCUACGGGAGGCAGCAGUGGGGAAUAUUGGACAAUGGGCGAAG